AUCCCGAAAGUGUUACGGAAGCACGGUGGUCUCCAAAACCACAAGCCUAGGUUCGACUCCUAGUCGGGGUGC
rnacentral:tRNA from 1 species